GGAUUAUCCCCUCGUGCAGCAGAACCGGCAAUUCACACAAAAAUCCAUAACUGGUUAAAUACACGGUGGAUUUACACGAAUGGACGUUCGGUAGAUAGCUGGGGUCUGAGCGCAUCAUUCGUGAGAUUACCGCUCAGAUCCCAGCUAAAACAACCGAACGCCGCACAAAAAACACAUUUCUUUUAAAACAUACGAAAAGGACCGAUUACUGCUAGUGAAC